GGGGUUGUGGCUCAGAGGUAGAGCACUCACCUAGCAUGUGUGAGGCACUGUGUUCAAUCCUCAGCACCUCA
rnacentral:tRNA from 1 species